rnacentral:lncRNA from 1 species
AGGGGACGCUAGACCGACUCUUUCUCUCAUCCCGAUUUUAUUUUCCACUCGUUUUCUCUCCCUCUCUUCUUUCUUCUUCUAUUUUUCUUCUUUCAUCUUCUCCUCUUUUCUUCUACUUUUCUCUUUUUUUUUUUUCUUUCUUCCUCCUUUUCUUUUCUUUUUUUUUUCUUCUUUUUUCUUUUCUUCCUCCUUUGUUUUCUUAUCUUCUUUCCCUUUUGUCAUUCCUCUCUAUUUUUCUUAUCUUCACUUUUUUUCUCCUCCUCUUCUUUCUUCCUUUUCUCUUUUUUUCGUCUCUUUUUCUUCUCCUGCUUCUUUUCUAAACGACCUUCUCAAUGAGCCCGCCUUUCACUAUAAGAAAGCGUCCACUACAAUAGAAUUAGAUUAUAGGACACAGUUUUGGGACAAUUUUGUGUAAGUAUCCCAUUUAUGCCAAAAUUUUUUAAAAAAUCUACUAAGGCCUAAAUAUAAAGCCAAUUCAAUCAAAAAUAAAAAGUUCCUCUACUCAACCAACUCUACCCAGCCCACUCGGUCCGAUUACAAAUAGAAAAGGAAAAAAAAAAAAGAAAAAUUGAUCACCAUCUUCCCUUCUUUUCUGCCGCCGCAGCUGACGAGGUAGAGUUCCGGCGGCUGGAGUUCGGCCGCGAGAAUCUCACAGGGACGUAGUGUAAGGACUGAGAUUUUUACAGUGCAACUAAACUCUCUGUUGAUGAUGUUUAUGUGUGUAAUUUAAUUAUAUAAGCACUCGUCAAGUUUCAGGAGAAAAUGAGCUAGAACGGAGAAGUUACGCGAUUAUUAGUUUUCACUUAAAGUGAAU